GCGGCAGUUGGGAAGCCGGGAGCCGCCCGCCAUGCAUUGGCGGCGGCGGCGGCGGCGGCGGCAGCAGCAGGGCCGGGGCCGCGGGCCGCCGGGGGGAGGGGUCCGGCUCCGUGCGGUCGCGGAGGCGGCGAGCGGCGGCGGCGGCAGCAGCAGGCGGGGGGCGGAAGUCCUUUGUUGCAGCAGCAGAGGGAGCAGCGCGGGCGGCUCCGACCUCCUCGGCCGCCGCUUCGGCCCCGCGCGGAGCCCCCGGACCCGGCUGGCCGCGCGGCGGGACUGUAAUCGGAAUACAAGAUGGCAAGUACCAGCCACAGCACAUAUGUCCUUCAGCAGCUAAACAACCAAAGAGAGUGGGGUUUUCUCUGUGACUGCUGCAUUGCUAUUGAUGAUAUUUAUUUUCAAGCACACAAAGCGGUCCUAGCUGCCUGCAGCUCUUAUUUUAGGAUGUUUUUUAUGAACCACCAACACACCACAGCCCAACUGAAUCUCAGCAACAUGAAGAUCAGUGCUGAAUGCUUUGAUCUCAUAUUACAGUUUAUGUAUUUAGGAAAAAUUAUGACUGCCCCUACCAACUUUGAGCAAUUUAAAGUGGCAAUGAACUAUCUACAGUUAUAUAACGUGCCUGAAUGUUUAGAAGAUAUACAAGAUAUAGACUCCUCUAAUUUAAAGUGUUCAUCUUCUGCUUCUAGUACACAGAAUAGUAAAAUGAUAUUUGGUGUGAGAAUGUAUGAAGACACACUUACUAGAAAUGGCAGUGAAGUAAACAGGUGGUGUAUGGAGCCACCAAGUUCAACUGUAAACACAUCCCAUAACAAAGAGCCGGAUGAAGAAGUUUUGCAGCUGGGCAGUUUUCCUGAACAACUGUUUGAUGUUUGCAAAAAAAGCACCGUGUCCAAAUUCUCUAACACAAAAGAUCGUGUGUCACAUUCACGCCGCUUUGGAAGAAGCUUUACCUGUGACAGCUGUGGGUUUAGUUUUAGCUGUGAAAAGUUACUGGAUGAGCAUGUGUUAACAUGCACGAAUAGGCAUUCGUACCAAAAUAACAGGUUUUAUGGUAUUGAAAAAAUUGACUUUAGUGAAAAAGACUCUACUUCUAAAAUACUAUCUGCACAAUCAGAGAACUAUAAAGGGGAUACCAAUCAAGCAGCCGAUGACUCUUCAUCUCCAGUGUCAAACAUAACAAGCAGAAAAAGUAGUAUAGUUGCAUCUGAGACAUCAGGUGAAGAAGGAAGUAGAGCCACUGAGAGGAAAAGAAUUAUCAUCAAGAUGGAACCGGAGGAUAACCCGGAAGAUGAACUGAAAGAUUUUAACAUUAUUAAAGUGACAGAUAAAGACUGUAAUGAAUCUACUGACAAUGAUGAAUUAGAUGAUGAACAGGAAGAGCCACUUUACAGAUAUUAUGUUGCAGAAGAGAUCAAUGAAAAGAGACAUUCUCGAAAAACUCUAAAACCCCGGUUGUCUAUAGAUGAGAAUGCAAGAAAGUGUUUAAAAAACGUGAGGCAUCUCAACAGGAAAGCCCCCCCAGUGCAGGAAGAUGCAGAGAAUGCGCCCUGUGAACUGUGUGGGCUAACAAUUACAGAGGAAGAUCUAUCUGCUCAUUAUUUAUCUAAACACAUAGAAAAUAUAUGUGCUUGUGGCAAAUGUGGCCAAAUAUUGGUCAAGGGUAGACAGUUACAGGAUCAUGCACAGACAUGUGGAGAACCCCAGGAUCUGACAAUGAAUGGUAUAAGAAAUGCUGAGGAAAAAAUGGACUUAGAAGAGAAUCCCGAGGAACAGUCUGAAAUAAGGGAUAUGAUGUUUGCAGAGAUAUUGGAGGACUUCAGGGACAGUCACUUCCAAAUGAACAGUCUUCCAAACAAACAGUUAUAUAAGCAUUCUGCCUGUCCUUUCCGAUGUCCUAAUUGUGGUCAGCGUUUUGAAACUGAAACUCUAGUUGUUGAACAUAUGUCAAACUGCCUAGAGCAAGAUCUGUUUAAGAAUGCUAUUAUGGAAGAGAAUGAAAGAGAUCAUAGACGCAAGCAUUUCUGCAAUCUUUGUGGGAAAGGAUUUUAUCAACGUUGUCACUUACGGGAACAUUACACUGUUCAUACCAAGGAAAAACAAUUUGUUUGUCAGACAUGUGGAAAGCAGUUUUUAAGAGAACGUCAGCUGCGGCUCCACAAUGAUAUGCACAAAGGCAUGGCCAGGUAUGUCUGUUCCAUUUGUGAUCAAGGAAACUUCAGAAAACAUGACCAUGUGCGGCAUAUGAUAUCUCAUUUAUCAGCUGGAGAGACUAUAUGCCAGGUCUGUUUUCAGAUAUUCCCAAAUAACGAACAACUGGAGCAGCAUAUGGAUGUUCAUCUAUAUACAUGUGGAGUAUGUGGAGCAAAAUUUAAUUUGAGAAAAGAUAUGAGAUCUCACUAUAAUGCCAAGCAUUUGAAAAGAACAUAAGCACAAACAUACUGUAAAACAAGCAUUAAAUUGACAGCAGUGGGAACACCAAAGCAAGGCAUACAAUAUAGCAGACAAAAAUUGAAUGAAUUGUUGAAAACAAGUCUUUUGUGUAAAGACCCUUUUAAUCAUAGGUGUCUUUGUUGUAGGGUCAUUAAGUAUAUAUCUUUUAAGUGUUUAAUUAUUACAUUUUCACUGUUGCCUACUAGCAGUUUCUGUUUUUAAUUUUAUCAUUUUACUAAGUAGAUAUGAUACAAAUCAUUAUUUUUAAACUGUAGAUUAAAAGCACAAAUGUUACCCUUGAACUGACUUCUAUUAAACAGUUCUUAGUUUCAUGUCCAUCCAGUGAGUGCUUCAGUAUUUACAAGUGUUGUUUCUUCAUGAGAAAUUUUACAUCAUGUAGCUGGAAUGAUUAUGCUCCUGCAUAUUAAUUACUAUCAACAUCAAUUUAAAAAAUGAAAACUGAUGCCAAGGAAUAAUUCUUUGCUUUGUGACUCUACAGUCAGCACAGAGCUAGCUGUCCUAGUAUUCAGAUUCUUAGCAUCUUUAUUGAGAUUCACGUCCCCAGGAAUGCUGGUCGGGUUAGGUAGGCGAAGUAAAACCAAGCAAGGCUGCAAUGAUCUGGAGAAAGGAAGAAAGAGAGAAUUAAGACUACAGUAUAUAGAAUCAAAGAAUUCCCAUCUGAACAGCCAUUUUCCAUGCUUGAUAUUCUAGCAGAAUUGAAACGAGCACUUCCGAUGCAGUAAUGCUUCCCUUCAGUUGCCUAUCUGUAUCUGCCUGAGUAUUUAUAAACUACUCAUCACAAUGGUAUCUGAUUGUUGAGUGCGAAGAGACUGCUGAGCUUUCUUAGUAAGUGCAGCAAAGAUGUUUUAUGCCCUUUCAGAAUCUUCUCACAUACAGACCUCUUUGAAUCUAGUGAAACCCUAACAUAUAGAGCUUAUCUGUUUUAUUUUAAUACAGUAAAAAACCACUGCGUGUCAGCUGAGGCAACUUGGUUUUUGAAAGUACAACUGUGGGUCUGGGCUGGAAUCUUAGAUACCAACUGUAUAAACAAAUACUAACUGCAUGGUUGUUAAUGAUGAAAUCUGUGAUAAGCAGUGGUGAACAAAGAGCAUUUGAAGAAAAAAUAACAACACCUACUUCUUAUAUAGUGCUUUUCAUCAGCAGAUUUCAAAGUGCUUCACAAAAAAAGUCAAUACCAUUUCACCAUUUUACAGAUGGGGAAACUGAGGCACCGAGUGGGGACGUGACUUGCCAAAGGUCGCUUCAUAGGCCAGUGGCAGAGCUGGGAAUAGAAUCUAGGUCUCCUGAGUCUCAGUCCAGUGCUCUAGCUAGAGUAUAAUUGCCAGGGAUAAGUUUUGAAACCUUGCCAUUUUUCAGACUGAUUAAUUUAUAGCUCAUAAAACAGAAUGUCAGAAUAUAUAAAUAAAUGGAUAAAGUUCACCUAAAAAUUGCAUAUAGCUACUUAAUCAAAUGAGUAUUUUCAGAUACUAUAUCAAAACUUCUGGUUUUAUAUUCAAUUAGAACUGAGUUUUUUAGAUUUGUAAACAAACAAUGUGAAUGUCUUUCAAGCUGGAGCCUAAUACACUGAAGGAAAAGGAAAACUUGGGUCCUGGACCUGCUAUCAGACCUGAGCACAUGGAUCCAAUUAUAGCAUUGGGGCUUCAGCAUUUUACAUACAAAAAGUAUUGUAACAACUGCAUUUCUUUUAUACUCCAAAAUCCCACAGAAGUCAAUGACAGUGGCACUGAACAGCACCCCUAACAUUAAUGCAUGCUAGUGUUUCCGUUAUUCCAAAGAUUUGGGUUUUUUUCCAGAGGUUUAUAAUACUUCCAUCCCAAGCCACAUUGAGCUGAAACUUAACAUGUCAGUCAAGAGAACAACCAGGUUGGCCGGUGUAAAUGCUGUUUUUGUGUCGGUGAUUGGUUGUAAGGGGGUGGCUGAGAGAACCAGCCAUCUUGUACAUUGGAAAAUGAAAUUUCAAAGUAACGAGUAGAAUGGUGUUUGAAAAAUAUUUACUGAUCAAUGAGACAUUGUAAUGGCAAUAUUUUUAUAAAGUGUUUAGGUCACAUACAAAUUCUCAGACAUUUGAGUUACCUUUUGAUAUACAAAUUCCAACUGAGCUGAAAGAGCAGCCAAGGGAACUAAGAGAGGACUUGUGUGUGCAGCAGAGUUGAAAGAAGAGUAUUGUGGCCUGGGGUGCGCUGAGAGAUUUGGAAUGCUGUGGGGGAUGCCAGGCAAAGAUUGGAACAGCACAGGAGCAGAGCCCAAAUUAGAAUAGUGUAGUGGGAAGUGGAGGGCAAAAAAUCCCAAAGGAGAGGGAGUGGAUAAAAUGUCCCAUAGAUGCCUGAAGGAACAGAGAGUGAGUGUGACUCAACUUGGCUGGGAGAGCUGUCAGCCUGGAUUACUAACUCACUGUGGCACCAAACUCUUAUUGCAGUUUGUGUACUAAGUAUAAAACAGACUUUUGUGCUGGGUGGGCUGUUGUGACACAGCAAAGCUUAGAUAAAAGAUUGCAGUGGGCCAGAGGACUGAAAAUGGACCGGAAAAUUUAGAGGAUGAAACACAGUAGCUAAUAGAUUAUCCCAGAAUACACCGAAGAGCUAAUAGAGUGAUUCGUAGACCCCUCUGCAUUGGGACAGGAGCCAUGUUUGAUGCUUGUUAGCCUGAGCUUGUUAAAACCCUGUUUUACACAGUUUGAUACCUACUGUGGAUGAGCCACAAUGGCAGAGGAGGUUUUAAUUUGUGAAUUGAGUUGUCCCAUUGUACAUACUAUGUUUUUUCAGUGAUUCCCCAGAAUACCACCGUUUUCCCAUUGCAAGCUGCGUUGUAGUGGUCUUUUCCUUCUCAGUGAGGCUGUCUUCAGUUCUCUCUAAAGCCCUCCAACACCUCUCUUUCAGUCAGAGGAAUUUGCUGGAGGAUGAUUUGAUGCACUCCCAGCUUUUACCAGCUUGGGCAGUGGAAGAACCAGAAUUUCUCUGAGUUUACACGUAUGUGCACUGGAAAUAAUGCUCACUUUGUGAUCCAGGAGAGUGAAUUGAAGUAUCAUGGAGAAGUUCAGAGAAGAUCAGGCAAAGAGGCACAGAAUGGUUGGGAAGGUUCAAGAGGGAAUGAAAAGAAUCUAGAGUUCCUGUGAACAAAUCAAAGGGAGUAAGGACAAAUCAGGGAGUACUGCAACUGGGCUGUGGGAGAGAUGGGAAGAAACACUGUUGUAGUGACAGACUUAUAAAAUUUGUGGACGAUACCAAGCUGGGAGGGGUUGCAAGUGUUUUGGAGGAUAGGAUUAAAACUCAAAAUGAUCUGGAAAAAAUGGAGAAAGUCUGAAGUAAAUAGGAUUAAAUUCAAUAAAGACAAAUGCAAAGUACUCCAUGUAGGAAGGAACAAUCAGUUGCACACAUAUAAAAUGGGAAAUGACUGCCUAGGAAGGAGUACUGCAGAAAGAGAUCUGGGGGUCGUAGUGGCUCACAAGCUAAAUAUGAGUCAACAGUGUAACGCUGUUAUAAAAAAAGCAAACAUCAUUCUGAGAUGUAUCAGCAGGAGUGUUGUAAGCAAGACACAAGAAGUAAUUCUUCCACUCUACUCCAUGCUGAUUAGGCCCCAACUCAAGUAUUGUGUCCAGUUGUGGGUGCCACAUUUCAGGAAAGAUGUGGACAAAUUGGAGAAAGUCUAGAGAAGAGCAACAAAAUGAUUAAAGGUCUAGAAAACAUGACCUAUGAGGGAAGAUUGAAAAAAUUGUGUUUGUUUAGUCUGGAGAAGGGGGCAUGAUAACUGUUGUAAAGUACAUAAAAGAUUGUUACAAGGAGCAGGGAGAAAAAUUGUUCUUCUUAACCUCUGAGGAUAGGACAAAAAGCAGUGGGCUUAAAUUGCAACAAGGGUGGUUUAGGUUGGACAUUAGGAAAAACUUCCUAACUGUCAGAGUGGUUAAGCACUGGAAUGCAUUGCCAAGGGAGGUUGUGGAAUCUCCAUCAUUAGGGAUUUUUAAGAGCAGAUUGGACAAAACACCUGUCAGGGAUGGUCUCUAGAUCAUACUUACUACUGCCUUGAGUGCAAGGGACUGGACUAGAUGACCUCUCGAGGUCCCUUCCAGUUCUAUGAUUCCAUGAAAGCAGGUAUAAGAACAUCAUGAGAAAGCUGAAAGAAAGGCCUGGAGUGGCUGAUAGAGAGGAUUAGGAUGGCAAGAGAUGAGAAAAAAAUUGAAAUCGUGCCAAUGAGACAAGAGAGUGGGUGAAAGAGAGCUAAACAAGAGUGUACAGACCAUUUAAUAAUGCUGACUAAGGGCAGUGGAAUGUUCUUCAGAGAACAUAAUGAUAUGGAUGCAAUACAUACAAAAUUACCAUGUUCCUGCUCCCCCACAGUGGUAGGGUAGUGUUUUUUUUUUUUUUAAAAAAAACCAUUAAAGAGACAGAUGCUCAAAAAGCAAAUACAGUACUAAAGACUGUUGAAACAUUUUCAGUACAACAAAAACAAAUCCCUGGAAAUCUCAUUCUUAUUUGAAAGACAGUGAAGGAGGAACAGAAAUUCUUGAUGUAGAGUUCUGUUUAUCACACUUGCAGUUUUAUUCUUCUUGCCAUAGUUUCUCUGUAUCCAAUUCCUAUACUAACUGGAAUCCUAUGCAUGUUUAGACUAUAUAUAUGUAAUACUGUAAAUUGCUUGGGAUCUUUGCAGAUAACAGGCGUUAUAUACAUACAGGACCAUGUUUUAAAAAAUACUAAUAGUUAAUUAUUUUUCCAAAAGAAAAUGAGCACUCUCUUGAUUCUCUGCCUCUCCUACUCCUGUAUCUCCGGGUGCUUUGUUAUUCCUAUGUCCAGUGAUUUCUCACUGUUCUCCUGCUGC